rnacentral:lncRNA from 1 species
GAGAGAUCAACCACAAAAUGCUCUGUGGGGCAGGUGACAGACAUCCUUCACACAACCAUUGAGGAGGACAGGUCCUGCUGAGCUGCUGCCUGUAUCCUAGCUGGCCAGAACAACCAGCAGCAAACACAGGCACUGGAGAGUGUUUGAAAGCCAAGAGAACUAACACGCUGUCCUUGGGCAAUCUUCCUUCCUUGGCUUAUGCACUAGGCCUAUUGCAGAGCAAGGAGAAAAAACGUGGUGGCUGGCAUCUCCACAGCAAGGACUGGUGGGACACACAGCCACCACAGUGUCCUGGUUACAGGAGUAUUUCUCUACUAGCUAUGAAGAAUUGAGAACAAGAAAAUGAAGCUGCUUGGAAAAUCAAUGAGUAGAUCUCAGAUUUUGCACGACUGAAGUUUGAAACUUUCUUGUUUCAAACUGUCAUGUCUGAGGGAAAAAAUGAGAAAAAAAGAACCCUCCAAGUAUCUAAGGCCUAAAGGCUGGGCUUGAAUGUAAAGAUAUUCAGACUCUGCUACCCAGGCUGCCUCUAGCUCUGCUGUCUGGCAUACUUCAGGAGUGAAAGAAAGCAAUGUAUUGCUGGACAACAGCUUCGGAAGUGCUUCUGCUAAAGGUGGACUCUGAACUUGGGCUGAACACCUCACGAGUCCUUCUCUGGAAAGUGCUCAGUACACUUCAGAACCAGACUGGUUGAAAGGAAGAUUGCUG